UCUGCCAGGGAAGGCUAGUAAUGCCGGGCCCUAAUAUAGAGGGACACCCGACACCCCCGCCCCCAAGGGGCCUGGGGAGCCCCGCUGCUUCCCCGCCCCCAUCCCUUGGGCGCUGACACCCCAGAGGCCCGCCCCUCCCGGCUGGGCCCAACCCCGAGCAACAUGCCUCGACAAGCCCCGCGCCGAGCUGGAGGCGGCCCGGUGGGGGAAAGGGGGCGCCGGGUCAGGCCCGGGGUGAGCGUGGGGACACCCGGUCCUUCAGGGUCGCCAAGAGAGUUUACGAGCGUCAGUGCCCACAGGCUGCCCCUAGAGGCUGUCUCCCAGGCAGAAGCCUGUUCUUCCCACCCGGGCGGCGGCCAUAAACCCCGGGGUGUGGGAGGCGGGCGGGGAGCAGGGCGCCGGGCUGAACCCCAAUAAACUGCUGGCUGAAUCCAACUGCAAAUCAUUCUUCCUGAUCCGCCUGCUUGCCAGCACUCACUGCUCGUGGGGAUUAAAAGUCAAAGGGCAGAGCUGCUGACGCAAAUGCCAGGGGAGCCGGGCGGUUUGCACAGGGGCCCCCGCGGGGCGCGGAGCGGCUGCAAGGGGCACCCCGCUCGCGCCCGUCCUCGCCGCCCGCCGGGGCCCGGCGAGGAUCCAGUACAAGGCUUGUCCGAAAUCCCCGCGAGGCGGCGCUGCCGAGGCCUGGGAGGCUGCAGAGGGCCGGCUCGGCGUCCUGUCCACCUGCCGGCCCGCACACCCUGGAGCCACGGUCUGUGCGUCGGUGGAUCCCCCCAGUGUCCACAGUAGGCUGGAACCCGGACCUCGGGCUGUGGCUGGGGAGGUGGGGCAGGGGGUGGAGGGGGGCACAGAGAGAGAUUGAGAGAUGUGUGUGUUGGAGGUGGUUGGAGGCAUUUGUGUAUGUACAUGCUGAAUCUGUUUGCUCCAAUUGUGGCUGAUGAUGAGCUUCCUGAGUGCACACUCAUCACCUAGCCCUAAGCCCUGUUUCUAUUAAUAGCUCCGCCUCUGACCUCAGUCCCUCAGGCUCCAUACCUAGCCAGAUGGGACUGGCUAAUGCUCUUGGUAUUGCCCUAGUCAUCUCGGACCCAACCUAGGAGCAUCUUCAAUGAUGGGCCUGGGUGAGGACCGGGUACCAGUUCCAGCCCCUGUGUGAGCCUGGGUGGGUCACUUCUCAACCCAGCUUCCUCAGCUGCACAGUGAGAAUGGGUUGCUGCUGGAAUUUGGUGUCUGCACAACUCCACCACUCCCAGUGACUACUUUAUGAUAAGGGGGUGAAAGACAGAAGCAGAGAAAGAGAGAUGGAGAGGAGAAACAUCUGCAGCAUAGAUUUAUCAUUUCAAAGCUUCCCCGCACCCCCCCCCCCCCCGCCAGGUGUGGAUGGGAGAACUUGAACCCAGGUCCUCACAUGGGGCAAUGUGUGUACUCUAUCAGGUAAACCAUUGCCUGGCCCAGUGCAGAUUUUUUUUCAUCACUUUCUCCUCUCACCCUAUUCACGUGGAAAUGAGAAUGAAGACUUCAUGAUGAGCCACUUAGGGUUUUCUCUAGAACAGUUUCCCCUCAUUUAUUUACUUGUCAGACUACAGCAUAAUGAGAUGUGUUAUGGGAUUAUUUAUGUUAUUGGUAAGGCUUCUGGCCAACAGCCAGCUGUUGGUAGUUAAG